UGCGUAGACGGAUCAAUAAGUCAGUGGUGAAAUCUCUCGGCUCAACCGGGAAACUGCCAUUGAUACUGUUGAUCUUGAGUUCGGUUGAGGUAGGCGGAAUGUGUAAUGUAGCGGUGAAAUGCUUAGAUAUUACACAGAACACCAAUUGCGUAGGCAGCUUACUAGACCGACACUGACGCUGAGGCACGAAAGCGUGGGGAGCGAACAGGAUUAGAUACACUGGUAGUCC
rnacentral:rRNA from 1 species